rnacentral:misc_RNA from 1 species
UUCCUUCUCAAACUCUCAAGGUUUGGUUGUGAGUGAUACUCUGUCGCAAGACAAGGUUAACUUGAAAAUGCUGGCCAUUUGGGCGGAGCUUGCACGGACUACGGUCUUAGCUAGCUUUAUACACUGCGUAUUAGGUUUCGACCAGAUCGUGGAGUUUAAAGUUGGUGUUUGAGGAACGUAAGUACAAACAAGGCCUCCCAGGCGAAUAGUAUUCCCAAAGU